CUUGGUCAUUUAGAGGAAGUAAAAGUCGUAACAAGGUCUCCGUUGGUGAACCAGCGGAGGGAUCAUUACCAGAGUGCCCUAGGCUCUCCAACCCAUGUGAACUUACCAAACGUUCCCUCGGCGGGCUCAGCGCGCGGUGGCCUCCGGGCCUCCGGGCGUCCGCCGGGGAAAACCAAACCCUGAUUUAAUCGUAUUUCUCUGAGGGGCGAAAGCCCGAAAACAAAAUGAAUCAAAACUUUCAACAACGGAUCUCUUGGCUCUGGCAUCGAUGAAGAACGCAGCGAAAUGCGAUAAGUAAUGUGAAUUGCAGAAUUCAGUGAAUCAUCGAAUCUUUGAACGCACAUUGCGCCCGCCGGCACUCCGGCGGGCAUGCCUGUCCGAGCGUCAUUUCAACCCUCAGGCCCACCCUUCCGGGGGAGCGGGCCUGGUUCUGGGGAUCGGCGGCCCUCGCGGCCCCCGUCCCUCAAAUUCAGUGGCGGUCGCGCCGCAGCCUCCCCUGCGUAGUAGCACAACCUCGCACCGGAGAGCGGAGCGACCACGCCGUAAAACACCCAAUUUUUUAAGGUUGACCUCGGAUCAGGUAGGAAUACCCGCUGAACUUAAGCAUAUCAAUAAGCGGAGGAAAAGAAACCAACAGGGAUUGCCUCAGUAACGGCGAGUGAAGCGGCAACAGCUCAAAUUUGAAAUCUGGCCUCACGGUCCGAGUUGUAAUUUGUAGAGGAUGCUUUUGGCGAGGUGCUUUCCGAGUUCCCUGGAACGGGACGCCAUAGAGGGUGAGAGCCCCGUACGGUAAGACCACCGAGCCUCUGUAAAGCUCCUUCGACGAGUCGAGUUG
rnacentral:sRNA from 1 species